AAACAAAACUGAAACUAAUUGUACUUCUGCAACUUCCGUCCCAGGCCCGGGACACCGACCAGCAGCGCCGCAGGCCCCGCCUUCUUCCCUACCCCGGCCGGGACCUCUUCCUCGGGGCCUCCACCCCCGGCAGGGCACAGCCCCCGCCCGCCGGCGCCUCCGCCUAGCCUCCAGGUCCAGGUCCACUCUUUGCGGCUGGAGUUGCCGAGGGGAGUUGCCUGACGAUGCGUCCUCUGAGGGAAGAAAUUAGAGAUCACGGGUGAUUCAGAGACCGAGGGUAACCAGAGCCAGGCCAGGUUCCAGGGCGGCAGCAUAUCUGCACAUCCAGUCCUGGUUAACCUCUUACUUGAUUCAUCACCUGCCUACCUAUGCAUCCGUUUACCCAGUGAAGAGAUGUCAGGAGGAAACAGAACCGGUGAGAACUUUGCAGCUGCCCUGAGCAUAGAGGGGAGCCUGACUACAGGGCCAGGACGAUUUGCUGGACGCCUCCUGUGCUGUGCAGUGCACAAAGAUCAAAAGGUAUGUCUCCACCCACAGGCAGUUUAUAACCAAGGACGGAAGGUGACAUCUGUACAUGUUGCCAUAUGAGACAAAUGUCAUAUUAAGGUGUCAAAAUAAUCAUCGCAACGGCUCUCUUUCACUGGACAUUGACAGUGAGCUUGGCAUGGGCUGUUGUAAACAUAACAUUUAAUCCUUACAGGAACCUAGUAAGGUAGGUACCACUCUUGCCUCCGCUUUACAGAUGAAGAAACUGAAUUACAAGGAGAACGAAUCAGUGACCCAGGGUCGCAUAAAGCGCUGCAACAACACAGAGGGAAAGUUUGGUUUCUCCUGGAAGAGUGGUGGUGGUGUGAGAAUCAGGAAGGCUUCAUGAAAGAGGCAGCAUCUCAGUGGCUCUCCUUCCCCGCCUACCCGAAUGUUGAAGGAUUGUUUACUGCCUACAGUGUGCGGCAAUCCCCAGGAAGGCAGGUUCCUCUCCCUGAGAACAGGCUUCCAAGGCAGGCGAUACUUAGCUACCACCAAGUGCUAGGCGUUACUAUGGAGACACAGGGAGGGGGAGAAGGAGUUCUUGCCAGAUGCUGGGGGUUCCUCAAGAUGAUGCUGGGGAAGGCCUCUGGUGCUGGAUGGUCUGAUAGGACUGAAGUGCAGAUGGGGUAGGUGGAGGGAAGUGGCAGGAGAUGGGAGCAGGCAGGGAGAACAAACUUAAAAAUUUCCUGUUGAGAAUCCUGUAAGACCUUAAGGUAAUGGGGAGCCAUUAUAGGAUUUUUACUGAGCAAGUCUGGGCUUUUUUUCUGUGGGUAUUUAGGGGUGGGGGAAAGUGAAGGUUUUUAAUCAAUUCAUACAAAUAAUAAGCAUAAUUUGAAAUAAAAUUUAAGGAGUUCCCGCUGUGGCACAAUAGGAUGG